rnacentral:rRNA from 1 species
UACGGGGGGGGCAAGCGUUGUUCGGAAUUACUGGGCGUAAAGGGCGCGUAGGCGGCCUGCUAAGUCGGAUGUGAAAUCCCUCGGCUCAACCGAGGAACUGCAUCCGAUACUGGCGGGCUUGAAUCCGGGAGAGGGAUGUGGAAUUCCAGGUGUAGCAGUGAAAUGCGUAGAUAUCUGGAGGAACACCGGUGGCGAAGGCGGCAUCCUGGACCGGUAUUGACGCUGAGGCGCGAAAGCUAGGGGAGCAAACGGG